rnacentral:rRNA from 1 species
CUACGGGCGGCAGCAGUGGGGAAUAUUGGACAAUGGGCGAAAGCCUGAUCCAGCCAUGCCGCGUGUGUGAAGAAGGCCUUCGGGUUGUAAAGCACUUUCAGUGGGGAAGAAAGCCUUGGGGCUAAUACCCUCGAGGAAGGACAUCACCCACAGAAGAAGCACCGGCUAACUCCGUGCCAGCAGCCGCGGUAAUACGGAGGGUGCGAGCGUUAAUCGGAAUUACUGGGCGUAAAGCGCGCGUAGGCGGUCUGAUAAGCCGGUUGUGAAAGCCCCGGGCUCAACCUGGGAACGGCAUCCGGAACUGUCAGGCUAGAGUGCAGGAGAGGAAGGUAGAAUUCCCGGUGUAGCGGUGAAAUGCGUAGAGAACGGGAGGAAUACCAGUGGCGAAGGCGGCCUUCUGGACUGACACUGACGCUGAGGUGCGAAAGCGUGGGUAGCAAACAGGAUUAGAUACCCGAGUAGUC